rnacentral:rRNA from 1 species
CAGUCGCCACGGUAAUACGUAGGUGGCAAGCGUUGUCCGGAAUUAUUGGGCGUAAAGGGCUCGCAGGCGGUUUCUUAAGUCUGAUGUGAAAGCCCCCGGCUCAACCGGGGAGGGUCAUUAGAAACUGGGAAACUUGAGUGCAGAAGAGGAGAGUGGAAUUCCACGUGUAGCGGUGAAAUGCGUAGAGAUGUGGAGGAACACCAGUGGCGAAGGCGACUCUCUGGUCUGUAACUGACGCUGAGGAGCGAAAGCGUGGGGAGCGAACAGGAUUAGAUACCCCUGUAGUCCCUGUCUCUUAUAC